rnacentral:rRNA from 1 species
GACGAACGCUGGCGGCGUGCCUAAUACAUGCAAGUCGAACGCAGUGGGGACGGGUGAGUAACACGUGGGUCACCUCCCAUGAGAGGGGAUAACACGAGGAAACAGGUGCUAAACCGAAACCGAUGGAUGGACCCGCGGUGAAUUAGCUAGUUGGGGGGGUAACGGCUCACCAAGGCCAAGAUGCAUAGCCGACCUGAGAGGGUGAUCGGCCACACUGGGACUGAGACACGGCCCAGACUCCUACGGGAGGCAGCAGUAGGGAAUCUUCGGCAAUGGACGAAAGUCUGACCGAGCAACGCCGCGUGAGUGAAGAAGGUUUUCGGAGCGUAAAACUCUGUUGUUAGAGAAGCGGUAUCUAACCAGAAAGCCACGGCUAACUACGUGCCAGCCGCCGCGGUAAUAC